rnacentral:piRNA from 1 species
UGUAUCCUUGAUUUGGCAUCUGCGGUGG